AUAUUAAUAUCUUAUUAUUAAAAAAUAGCGAAACUAAUGAUCGCAUUCUGCGCAAGACGCGGGUUAUUACCUAGUAACCUGAUAUAUAUGAAGUCAUUAUUAAAUCCAUUCCGGAAGUGUAUUUAAUUUUUGUAUAUCAAAACAAUAUGCGAUUAAAAACACACUUAUAGGAUAAAUAUGUUCGUAUUUAUUAGGGUGUUCUGUUCCAACUUUAAAUCUGAAAAGUACAUAGUUGUAUUGUAUGUCUUAUAUUUAGGUGUGGUUUGUCAUAUUAGGAGGAUUCCAUCAGGAAGAUUUGAGGAGCAAUAGAGGAACAAGAUACGUAAGUAUGUAUAUCUCUUUACAAUUUUUAAUACCAUUUUGGAUCUUGCUAUAUGUUUUGGUUUUUGCCUAAUCAUCCUGAGUCAUUAUUAACUACAAUGUGUUGAUGUUCAUGUUGUGGUUGAGAUAGUUUUUGUGUCUGUUCUGCAACUAUAUGUGUUCCUAUGGUUCAUCUUCACUAAAGCUGGAUAGAUAAUAUACCGUGAGAAAGGUAAUGUUUCAAAGUCCAUAAACGUUGAAAAGAGGGAUAUCUAUUAGGGAGAAUUUUUGUCAUACUUAGAACAUUGCUAACAUAUUUUCAGGAACUAUGAUAGCAGUUGAGCUCUUAAAGAAUCAUGUCCUUCUUCUAACAUGGAGCUGCAAACAACCUUUGAAGGGAGUCCAUAAUUUCCUAGAUCAGAUUUCUUCAGUCACUGUAAGUGUCAAUUAAGAAUAUGCUUUGAUGUGUCAGCUAAGAACAGAUUUCUUUCACAAAGCCAUUUUGAUUCGAGUUUUUAAUCGAUGUUUGAUGUCUCAGUUAGAUUUAAAUUAUAGCAGCAUACUUAGGUAGUAAAGAUCACAUAUUCUCAAACUAAUGUGUAAAGUAGUUUAAAUUACGUGUUACAUGCUGAUUUUUUUUCCGUCUUAUUGUUUUUCUGACCUUUGAUUUGUAAAAUUGUUUACAGGGAGAUUUUUAAUGAAGCACUAGAUUGAAUUACUGGAAACAAGAAGGAAAAUAUAUAAAUUUCUCAUAAACAUGUUUGGAAUUAGAGAAAAUACAAGAAAAUCCGGAGAGGAAGAAAAAAAGGUAGUUAAGAAAGCUUCAAAUUAAUAUUUGCCUUGAACAAAGUAAUUUAUAUCAGUAUUGAACUUAAACCGAUCUAAAGUAAAUAAGUAAUAUUUAUUUUUAUUUUGUUUUUUAACAGUUUAUAUAUAUAACUAAGAUUUUUUUUUUCGCAAGAAAAAUUAUUUCCGUGCGUAGCAUGGGGCCUACACUAGUUAGCUUAUAAAGAAUAGAGCAAAAGUUUUGGCUUCGGCGCGCAAAGAAACAAAGCUAUCGCGAACGUCUCUGCAACAAGCAACAAUGGAGAAUGGAGAUCAGAAUAACCAACUCAGGCCAAAGAAGCCAAAGGACUUUACGUGGUUGAUUGACGUUAGGGGUGGGCAUUUCGGUUUAGUUUCGGGUUCGGUUUGGUUUGGAUAAUUUGGGUUUUAUAAAACUCAAAUCAAUUAAAACCAAAGUAGCUUUGGUUUGGGUUUGGUUUGGGUUUAAUUCGAUUCGGUUCAGUUCGGUUUGGUUUAGAUUUAGUUCGGUUUACAUUAUUAUGGUCUAGUUUGGUUCGGUGUAGUUCGGGUUGGUUAUAAAAUAUGAAGCAUCAUUUUUAUACUUUUUUAAAAAAUAAUCAACUCAUAAACAAUAGAGUGAGAAUAUAAAAACGUAUGCUACAUGAUUUUAUAUAUAAUAGUAUUAUUUGAAUUAUAUUUAUAAUUAUUUUUUAAAGAUAUGAAAUUUAUGAAAAAAUGAAAAACGAAACUUUAACUAAAAUUUACAAUAUGUUAAUACAUAUAUAUAUAUAUAUAUAUAUAUAUUGGAUUAUCGGUUUGGUUCGGUUUGGUUCGGUUUAAACCCAAACUAAACCAAACCGUUCGGAUUGAGUAAAACAUGAACCAAUUGGGUUACAUAAAGAGCACGGUUUGGUUUGGUUCGGUUUAACUUCGGUUUGGUUGGGUCGGUUCGGUUCGGUUUGGGUUUUUUGCCCACCCCUAAUUGACGUCGCCGAAGCUGCGUGGGAGUAUUUAACCAGGGAAAGGCAGACGCCUACGCCGCCGCAGCAGAGAAAUCCGCCGCCGCAGACAACUCCGCCGCCGCAGACAACUCCGCCGCCGCAGCCAACUCCGCCGCCGCAGACAACUCCGCCGCCGCAGCCAACUCCGCCGCCGAAAACUUCGCCGAUUUGUCUUUUCGAUGGAACAGGGAAAGAGCGCUUGAAGAUUCCACCGCACUUCCCAAGUACGUGGGAGAUGAUGCGAGACGGUUACGUUCCUUACGGAAAGAAGAAGCUCCGUGGAUUCUGAAGAUCAAGAAGAAAAAACGUUUUUUUCUUUUUUUGCAUUUGUGUGAUGAAUCUCUGUUAAUUGUUCACAUCUCUUUUAAUCAAAAAGUACAUACAAUAGGAUGAGAGCUUGGUGAGGCAAGUGAUGUUUGCUUUACUAAAUAUCACAAACAAGAGGCAAGUGAUGUUUAAACAGUAUCAGUGAAAUGGAUAUUGUCCACUAAAAGAGUUGUCUUGCCGUUGAAAUAUAGUAAAGCAAGUGAUGUUUAAAGCCUGGUGAA